GGUGAACGCUGGCGGUAGGCCUAACACAUGCAAGUCGAACGGCAGCACAGUAAGAGCUUGCUCUUACGGGUGGCGAGUGGCGGACGGGUGAGGAAUACAUCGGAAUCUACUUUUUCGUGGGGGAUAACGUAGGGAAACUUACGCUAAUACCGCAUACGACCUACGGGUGAAAGCAGGGGAUCUUCGGACCUUGCGCGAUUGAAUGAGCCGAUGUCGGAUUAGCUAGUUGGCGGGGUAAAGGCCCACCAAGGCGACGAUCCGUAGCUGGUCUGAGAGGAUGAUCAGCCACACUGGAACUGAGACACGGUCCAGACUCCUACGGGAGGCAGCAGUGGGGAAUAUUGGACAAUGGGCGCAAGCCUGAUCCAGCCAUACCGCGUGGGUGAAGAAGGCCCUCGGGUUGUAAAGCCCUUUUGUUGGGAAAGAAAAGCAGCAGGUUAAUACCCCGCUGUUCUGACGGUACCCAAAGAAUAAGCACCGGCUAACUUCGUG
rnacentral:rRNA from 1 species